GAACAUCGAUACUGCUGUGCACUUUUGAUUGUGUUGGUUACCCCCGUGGCAACUCGACAGUCCGCUGGCCUCCAGCUCCUCUCCCUCUCCAUCUAUCUAUGAGAUCAUUCACCUCUCUCCUAUCACUCUACCCACUCAUCCCUUAAUAUAAGACGUUCUAUCUCUCCUGUCAAAUCUAAUACAUCUAUCUAAUUUUGAGGUUUUCUAUCUCUCCUGUCAUAUCUAAUAUAUCUAUCUAAAUUUUGGAAAUUCUAUCAUUCUAUCCCUCUAAUUCUAUCCCGCUCUAUCUCCUUGCAUUCUUGCAAGAAACCUGUUUUUUUGGAACGAUAUAUUUCAAACUUGUCUUUUGGAACCUGAUAUUAACAGAUUACUGGUAUCUGUUUUGGAUUCAUGGGUUGAUUGGAACCUGAUCAUUCUGUUUUAUGGUUCUGUGAGUUUCUCUGCUCACACUUUUUCUACCUCUCCUGUCUCUCUCUCACACACAUUUGAUUUGGCCUUUUCAAUUGGCAAAAACCUUAUUAUUGUAUUUUUGAAUUGUCCAUAUUGUAUCAAUAUUCUAUUUGGU